UACCGAAAGAUUAUUUUGACUUGCCUUAAU
rnacentral:piRNA from 1 species